rnacentral:miRNA from 1 species
UAAUGCGCUUUCUAUGAUGUAG